rnacentral:rRNA from 1 species
GGGCCCGCACAAGCGGUGGAGCAUGUGGUUUAAUUCGAUGAUACGCGAGGAACCUUACCAGGGUUUAAAUGCAGAACGACAGGGGUGGAAACACCCCCUUCUUCGGACGGACUGCAAGGUGCUGCAUGGUUGUCGUCAGCUCGUGCUGUGAAGUGUCGGGUUAAGUCCCAUAACGAGCGCAACCCCCAUUUCUAGUUGCCAGCGGUUCGGCCGGGGACUCUAGAGAAACUGCCAGCGUAAGCUGUGAGGAAGGUGGGGAUGACGUCAAAUCAUCACGGCCCUUACAUCCUGGGCCACACACGUGCUACAAUGCUACGGACAAAGGGCUGCAAGUUCGCGAGGACAAGCAAAUCCCAUAAACCGUGGCUCAGUUCAGAUCGUAGGCUGCAACUCGCCUACGUG